UUGUGCAUUAUUAAAAAAGAAUAUAUCAAUCAACAUGGGUUACCGAGGUCCGAGUAGAUCAUUUCAUUUUUUCGUUUACUUUAGUUUUCUUUGUAAUUAACUUUACAAAUUGUACAAAUAAAAGUUGUCUUUACAGAUAAAAGAUCUACUAUUAAGUAUGAUUAAUAAUGGAUUCUAAUGGAUAUGGACAUAGACUAUAAUAUAGUUUGCCAAAAACUGCACGUAUAGCGUGUUCUUUUGCACUUUUCCGAUAUCUGACUUCAUUUGAAGAUAUUUCACUUUUCGAUAUAUGUAAAGAAAAUUAAUAUUUAACCAUUUAAAACAACAGUAAAUAAGCAAACAUUGAAUAUGAAACUACAGAAAAUUAUUAAUUUCUAGCAGUGCCAUGCAAUUAUUACCAUUCCAAUGACAACUUAUUUACAUAUCAAACAAUUUACAUAUCAUGCAUGGAAACGAAAAAACAACAGAUAUCGAAGAAAUGUAAAAUGAUAUGCACGCAGAAGAGCUUUUUUAUUACAAUCCUGGUCAAAAACCGCGUGGCUAGCCGUGCAGCAUAUUAUUAAAUAAAAAAUUGUCUUUCCAAACUUAGGCCUACUAGUUAACUCUGUGUUAUAUGUAAAUAUACAGACAAAUUGCUCAUUGCUAAAUAAAUGAGAAGAUUGAAAUGAAUGAUUCAAUCAUGCUCAAAUUUGGUAGGAGUGUCAAGCAAUGCCAAGACC